GGGCCGCGGCCGCGCGGCGGAGCCGGGAGCUGCGGGCCCUGCCCGCCCCCGGCCCGGGGUUUGCUAGGAGGAAGCCUGGAAUGUGAGGAAUGAGGGCUGGAAUGAGAUGCGCGCGGCGGAGGGCGGGAGCCGGAGGGAGUGGCGGCCCGGCCCCGGGCCCGCGGGGAGGAGACUGGGCCGCGGGGAGGGGCCGCGCGCGCGGGGCGGGCGGCGCCGGCGGGGGGCGGCCGCGGGGACUGGAGGCUGCGACCUCGGCGCCCUGCUCCGGCUUCGGCCGCCGCCCCGCGCACGUGCUUCCCCUUUGAUCUCGGCCCAGACUCUCUUCCUCCUCCCCUGGCCCGGCUCCCCGCCGGUCCUGGCCAGCCCCCCGCUCUCGGCCCAGGCCGGAACCCUUCCCCCUGACCCGCCGGCCGGCCUCUGGCCUCGCGCCCGGCCGCCAGCACGCCUCUCCCUGCGCGCCGGCCCCGAGAGGACGGGCGAGGGCGGACGUCCGGCGCGCGGGCAGCCGCUCCCUUCCCCGCGGUGCCCGCCGGGGACCCCGCUCCCGGGCCCAGGACGCAGGAGCUCCGCGCGCACACGCGUGCCCUCCGCGCACGUUCCUUUCAGCCGCGUUCCCUUCCGCCCCGCGCGGACCUGCGACGCUGUCCCCGCGGAGAGCGGCGCACUUGGGGAGAGGAUGCCCGAAGCGACGGGCGUGUGACGCGGCAGGAGACGCGUCUAAGCCUGACCCCACAUCUGUUUUGCGCCCCCCGACACUGCGAAAAUAGUGAAGGAUAAGACCUCAGCACCUGCCCUCUCAGGGUUUGCCAUUUAGCCGGGAAGACUCGCUCUGUGGAGGAGCGUCGCCAGAAAGUGGGGAGUCUCGGCCUUAAACACGCCAGCUCCAGCUUGGUGCCUGGGAUAGAUAAAUGCAUAAUAAAUGUUACCAGAAACGCACUACCACAGAGGAUCUUGAAAGUGCUAUAAAUGCUGAAGUUGCUUCCAAGAGAGGUGUUCCAAAGGCGUUUUGAGUCAUCACAGCAUCACUGGACAAAGUAUCCAGUCUCUUAAGGUGAACACUUUGAAGGAAGCAGGUCUCAUUUGGAUAUAAAUUCUGGUCUGCUUGGUAAAUGAUGCGUCACCUCAGGGCUCGGUCACACCUCGUCCACGUGAAAAGUCUGCAGCGCAGGACGGUGGGCAGGCACCGAAUGCCGCACAAACGACCCUAACUAUCCAAGACCAUAAAGGAUCAGAAACUCAGCCUCCCACAGGCUUCUAGAGAGCUCUGUGCCUUCAGGAAUCUCCCAUUCCCAAGCUGUUGAGGUCACUCUGGAUAAAGGAAAGUUCUUAGAAGUCCCGAAGGUGAAAGACAGACUGUGAUUUUACACACGUGCCUGCCCUUUCGGGGUUAUUUACAUUUCUCAAGAGACAGGACUCAUUUGUUGACCUUCAGGAAUGAAUCUCUUGGUGGAAAUAUUUCAUGUCUGGAUAGAGCUAGAGAGAUGCACAUGGCUGCCCUCAAAUUACACCAUAAAAUCCACACCUCACCUCACCUCCUCGUGAUCUCAGCCACUUUACCCGGACCCACAAAUGGAUCCUGGUCGAGCUUCACGAAAGUUGUGUGGAAAGAAGACGGCACGGGUGUGGUCAGAGCUGGGUUUGAUGUGUGGAGGCUAUUUGUGUCGUUUAUUCUCCAAAAUCAAAGUCAAAAAUCAUAUUAAUUACUUUUAUCAUGUGUCAUUUGGUAUUAUUUCCAUUCCUUUAAUAAA